AACGUCGUAAAUAACAAGGUUGCCAACAAACAACGCAUUCAAAGUUGUAUAGCGGCAGUGUAAAAUACCAGGUAGAGAGCGGGCAAUUUUGUUUUUCACUCACCACGUUUAUUCCGAAAAACGUCUGUCCUCACUCUGGUAGCCCAUGGACAAACAAUAAUAAGCUAUGUGUUUCACCACGCUAUCCACCGGGGUCAGUGUCACACCAGACGGCGGGCAUCAUCGGCCCCGGGAAUCUUCCGUUUCACCCCUGCCUUUACACAGGUAAUCAUUCCUUUCAAUGGUGCACUUUUCUUCAUCACAAGACCACAUCUUGACCACCACAUAUAUAUAUAUUAUUUUACCUUUAUUUAACCAGGCAAGUCAGUUAACAAAUUCUUGUUUUCAAUGACGGCCUAGGAACAGCGGGUUAACUGCCUUGUUCAGGGGCAGAACGACAGAUUUGUACCUUGUCAGCUCAGGAUUCGAUCUUGCAACCUUUCGGUAACUAGUCCAAUAAGGUAAGAGUUUUCAUGAAGUGCUUUGAGAGGCUAGUUAAGGAUCAUAUCAUCUCCACCUUACCCAACACCCUAGACCAGUGGGGUGGGGGGAUACAUUUGGGGAUAGAAAAAUGCAUUUUGUGUAAACUUAAACCACUAAAACCGAUUAAAAAAAUUAUAUAUAUAUUUUGUAAUAUAAUGGACAUUUUCCAAUAACAGACCAUCAUUUUUCAGAAUUUACAAUCAACAAUAAAAGCAAGACAAUAACGCCCCCAUUGAUUUUGUUAAAAUGUUUGAGAAUAACACAGCAUUCGACAUGUCAAAAUGCGUAGAAAACUGCCAAAUGUUCUCUACCUGAAGGCAAAAUGUAUAGAAUUGCAGAAAAUUGUCUUUAACAUUUUUAAACUUUAUUUCAGCUCUAUGGCAGGAUGUGUGGAAUUGCAGGAGACAAGCUUUGAAACUGCAAAAAUGUAUCUUCGCUGCCAAGAUAACUUUUUUUUACUUAUUCUUUGGUCUGAAUGUUUUUUCACCACUCAACCCUUAUGGUGGGUCGCGACUCAAAAUACCCCUCCCCUACACUAACUACAAUUUGCAUACUGCCCCAAAAGAUCCGUGGAUAAUGCGAUCGCCAUCGCACUGCACACUGCCCUAUCCCAUCUGGACAAGAAGAAUACCUGUGUAAGAAUGCUGUUCAUCGGCUACAGCUCAGGCUUCUACGCCAUAAUGUCCUCCAAGGUCAUCACUAAGCUUGGGGCUCUUCGUCUGAAACCCGCACUGUGCAACUGGGUCCUGGACUUGCUGACCCCAUAUGGUGAAGAGGGAGAGAGCCCACCGUCAAUUCAUGAAUCUCCCGGUCACGGCCGGCAUGGGUAUCGAACCAGCAUCUGUAGCAACGUCACUGAGAGUGAGUGUCUUAGACUGCAGCGCCACUCUUAAUGCUGAUCAAUUGCCUUGCACAAAGUAUCUAUUGUCCUGCUAAUAGACCAUAAUGGCGCUGUAAAUCGUGACUGGUCAGGAGUAGGCUACAGUACUACAGUAAGAGCAAAAUAAUCCUAACAUUUACACACUCUAAUUGUAGAUUAACCAAUACCCAAAUGGAGAUUCAGUGAAAAUAAAAAUCUUAUUGAUUUAUCAAGACCAGUCCCCAUGCUUGUCUCCCCAUGUCUGACCUCUGAAUGCUGUCUAAGCUAUAUGUUUUGAAGAUUAUUUUCCAGUAGGCAACAAUUUGUUUACCUUCAUUAGCCUACUUUGUUCCAUUAUUUCUGUCAUUCAGUGAUAUUUAUUCCCAUAGUAAUUUGUUAUGAAUUUCUAAGGAAAUUAACAUCUGCAUUUUGAAAGAGUAUUUUUAUAAUUAUUUAUUAACUAAAGCACAAAGAUGUUGAUGAAGAAAUAUAGUAUUGUACAGUAUAUGCUUUAUCCGACAUUUUUGCGGUUGCAUGAGGUCGCCUGCACACACUUUAAACAUUUGGAUAAUAAAGCAUUUUGAAGAUAGACGCUGCCUGCAUUUGUUUAUUAGGCUACGGUGCAGUCUGACAAGUACACAUCCUUGGAAUAGCAGAACAGA